rnacentral:rRNA from 1 species
AAUGAACGUUGGCGGCGUGGAUUAGGCAUGCAAGUCGAGCGGAAAGGCCCGCACGGGCACUCGAGCGGCGUAAGGGACAGUAAUGUGUAGGUACGUACCCCUGGGUCUAGGAUAGCUGCGGGAAACUGCAAUUAAUACUAGAUGAUGUCUUCGGACCAAAGGUGUGAUUCCACCCAGGGAGCGGCCUACAUCCUAUUAGCUAGUUGGUGAGGUGACGGCUCACCAAGGCGAAGAUGGGUAGCAGGUGUGAGAGCACGACCUGCGUCACUGGGACUGAGACACUGACCAGACACCUACGGGUGGCUGCAGUCGAGAAUCUUCGGCAAUGGGCGAAAGCCUGACCGAGCGACGCCGCGUGCGGGAUGAAGGCCGUCGGGUUGUAAACCGCUGUCGGAGGGGAUGAAAUGCCGAUGGGUACACCCAACGGCUUGACUGAUCCUCGGAGGAAGGGUGGGCUAAGUUCGUG